CACACCAAAAACAAUCUAAAGAUUUAUUCACUAGGAAAAAGAAAUGAGUUAUUUACAAGGUUAAAGCAGGUAAACACACUCAAAUGAGUUAGUCUUAUGUUUCAAAAGGUAAUAGAAACAUCUGUAAUAAGCAAGCUCCAUAUGUCCCUUAGGGCUAACCCAGGCUAAACACUGGGGAGGUCUUACUUUAUGCCUAGAAAACCUUACCCUCCAGAGACCGAGCAGCAUAGAGAGAGUUUCUCCUUGUCAGGGAUUUUUAUUCCCUUUUCCCCCUUUUCUGAAGUACCAGCUCAGCUGGUGGGAGAAAUUCAUUUUCACAUCUCCUCUCUAUGGGACUGGAUGAGAGUAAUCAACAGUCUUUUUGUCCUCUUACAUGAACUAUUAUAGAACAUCAGGUACUGGCGGGCCUUCUCUGCAGGACUGGCCAGCAUUUCACACUAAUGAAUGUCUCUCUCCUAUCUGCUGAUUUCCAUAACUGCAGAGGCUUACAAUACAAAUGGUCCUGUAUUACGUUGAAGUAUGGGAUACAGAGGUCAUAAGUGAGAUUAAUGCAUGCAGCAACUCACAAGCAUUCCAUGAAGUCUAAACACAUUCUUAGAACUGUAAUACCUGUUUUAACAAUAACAAACACAAGUGAGCUAGACUGUUCGUUAUGUAUUUGUCAGUGUUCAGUUGAGCCAUGGCAACCUUGGCAUAUGCUGACACCCUCCUGUGGCUUUUUCUGCCUUCAUCAUUCAUCUGUCUAUGCCAGGAUAACUUCCAAACCAGCUGAUUUUUAUGUCACUUACAGAGGAGUUUGCAGGUUAGAAAUAAGACCCACGAGCAGAUGCUCUUAUGAAACAAAAAUAAUGUUUUCAGUCAAAUAUCCCUUACAAUAAUUAAAAUUAAGGGGAAAGACCUAUAGAAAUAGACUAUAUUUUAAAAUAGAGCUUUCUAAGAGAUUUUCUGUGGGGCAGCACUGAGCCUUUAGAGCUAUUAUAUCAAAUAAUAGUGUUUUUUAAAUAUAAAGAUAUAGUAUUACAGUGUUGGUAGGAAAAACUGUAAGCAAGACGGAGGUUUUUCAUAGGUAUGUGCCCAAAGGAACAACAUGACAGAGAAGCAUAAUGUAUCUCAGCUAUGAGAGUGUCAGUGGCAUAAGCUGGCUCGUGAAAUCAGUAGGGGUUCUAUACUGAGAGAGUUUUCAGGCUUGGGUCCUUUAUGUUAAAUUCUUCCUGAUAGCAGAAAUAUAAAUAAGAAAUUGAAUUGAGAGAGACUGUGGACAGGUAUUAAUACCUGGUGGUAUGGGCCCCUGGUGAGGGCCCUACAUGCCUGUUGCACCUCUUCCUCUCUCCACUGUGGAAUAUCAGAGCUAAUUUUGAUUCCCUUAGGAGUCUAUUUGCGGGAGGG